AGCGAACGCUGGCGGCAGGCUUAACACAUGUAAGUCGAGCGGGCACUUUCGGGUGUCAGCGGCGGACGGGUGAGUAACGCGUGGGAACGUGCCCUCUGGUUCGGAAUAACUCAGGGAAACUUGAGCUAAUACCGGAUACGCCCUUUUGGGGAAAGGCUUGCUGCCGGAGGAUCGGCCCGCGUCUGAUUAGCUAGUUGGUGAGGUAACGGCUCACCAAGGCGACGAUCAGUAGCUGGUCUGAGAGGAUGAUCAGCCACACUGGGACUGAGACACGGCCCAGACUCCUACGGGAGGCAGCAGUGGGGAAUAUUGGACAAUGGGCGCAAGCCUGAUCCAGCCAUGCCGCGUGAGUGAUGAAGGCCUUAGGGUUGUAAAGCUCUUUUAACCGGGACGAUAAUGACGGUACCGGAGGAAUAAGCCCCGGCUAACUUCGUG
rnacentral:rRNA from 1 species